AUGGUUCCGGGGACAGUUAGGGCGGCGGAUGGAGGUCAGCGGUGGUGUUCGCGGCGGUUUGGAAUCACUUGCUAGGAGUCUUGUCUCUCUGCCACCCAGGACAUCAUGGCAGCUCACCUGGUAAAGCGAUGCACAUGCCUCCUGAGAGAAGCUGCUCGUCAGGCCCCUGCCAUGGCUCCAGUUGGCCGACUGAGACUUGCCUGGGUAGCCCAUAGGACUCUGACUUCCUCAGCCACCUCACCCAUUUCCCACUUCCCAGGUUCCUUGAUGGAGCCGGUGGAGAAGAAACGAGCAUUUACUCCCUACAUAGAGAAGCAGAUGGACCACCUCAUCAAGAAGGCCACAAGGCCAGAGGAGCUCCUAGAGCUUGGUGGCAGUCACGAUUUGGACAGCAAUCAAGCAGCAAUGAUACUUAUCCAGCUCUCUCACUUGCUGUCUGAGAAGCCAGAAGAUAAAGCCUUGCUCAUACAGGAUGCCCACUUUCAUCAACUUCUCUGUCUGCUCAACAGUCAGAAAGUCUUAUGAUGCAAGACUGAACAUU
rnacentral:sRNA from 1 species